GACGAACGCUGGCGGCGUGCCUAAUACAUGCAAGUAGAACGCUGACUACUUUAGCUUGCUAGAGUAGAAGGAGUUGCGAACGGGUGAGUAACGCGUAGGUAACCUGCCUACUAGCGGGGGAUAACUAUUGGAAACGAUAGCUAAUACCGCAUAACAGUGUUUAACACAUGUUAGAUGCUUGAAAGAUGCAAUUGCAUCACUAGUAGAUGGACCUGCGUUGUAUUAGAUAGUUGGUGGGGUAACGGCCCACCAAGGCGACGAUACAUAGCCGACCUGAGAGGGUGGUCGGCCACACUGGGACUGAGACACGGCCCAGACUCCUACGGGAGGCAGCAGUAGGGAAUCUUCGGCAAUGGGGGCAACCCUGACCGAGCAACGCCGCGUGAGUGAAGAAGGUUUUCGGAUCGUAAAGCUCUGUUGUAAGAGAAGAACGUGUGUGAGAGUGGAAAGUUCACACAGUGACGGUAACUUACCAGAAAGGGACGGCUAACUACGUGCCAGCCGCCGCAGUAA
rnacentral:rRNA from 1 species